CGGGACGUGGUGCAUCGGUAGCAUGCUACUUUUGGGAAGUAGAGGUACAGGGUUCAAUUCCCUGCGUCCCGACCA
rnacentral:tRNA from 1 species